rnacentral:rRNA from 1 species
AGUGAACGCUGGCGGUAGGCCUAACACAUGCAAGUCGAACGGCAGCACAGUAAGAGCUUGCUCUUACGGGUGGCGAGUGGCGGACGGGUGAGGAAUACAUCGGAAUCUACUUUUUCGUGGGGGAUAACGUAGGGAAACUUACGCUAAUACCGCAUAUGACCUACGGGUGAAAGCAGGGGAUCUUCGCACCUUGCGCGAUUGAAUGAGCCGAUGUCGGAUUAGCUAGUUGGCGGGGUAAAGGCCCACCAAGGCGACGAUCCGUAGCGGGUCUGAGAGGAUGAUCAGCCAGACGGGAACUGAGGCACGGUCCAGACUCCGGCGGUAGGCAGCAGUGCGGAAUAUUGGACAAUGGGCGCAAGCCUGAUCCAGCCAUACCGCGUAGGUGAAGAAGGCCUUAGGGUUGUAAAGCCCUUUUGUUGGGAAAGAAAAGCAGCAGGUUAAUACCCCGCUGUUCUGACGGUACCCAAAGAAUAAGCACCGGCUAACUUCGUG